rnacentral:rRNA from 1 species
AGAGUUUGAUCCUGGCUCAGGAUGAACGCUGGCGGCAGGCUUAAUACAUGCAAGUCGAACGGUAACGACCGGUAGCAAUACUGGGGCGACGAGUGGCGCACGGGUGCGUAACGCGUAUGCAACCUACCCUCAACCGGGGCAUAACGCCGAGAAAUUGGCGCUAAUAUCCCAUGUGUAUAUGGAGUGGCAUCUCUUCAUAUAUAAAGAUCCGUUGGUUAAGGAUGGGCAUGCGUAACAUUAGCUAGUUGGCGGGGUAACGGCCCACCAAGGCGACGAUGUUUAGGGGUUCUGAGAGGAUUCACCCCCACACUGGAACUGAGACACGGUCCAGACUCCUACGGGAGGCAGCAGUAGGGAAUAUUGGGCAAUGGAGGCAACUCUGACCCAGCCAUGCCGCGUGAAGGAAGACGGCCCUAUGGGUUGUAAACUUCUUUUGCCGCAGAGUAACCGCGGGGACGAGUCCCUGCCUGAGAGUAUGCGGCGAAUAAGUAUCGGCUAACUCCGUGCCAGCAGCCGCGGUAAUACGGAGGAUACGAGCGUUAUCCGGAUUUAUUGGGUUUAAAGGGUGCGCAGGCGGACCGUUAAGUCAGGGGUGAAAAGUUGGGGCUCAACUCCAAUCGUGCCUUUGAUACUGGCGGACUAGAGUGCAGGGGACGUGACUGGAAUGUGAUGUGUAGCGGUGAAAUGCUUAGAUAUGUCACAGAACGCCGAUCGUGAAGACAGGUCACGAAUCUGCAACUGACGCUCAUGCACGAAAGCGUGGGGAUCAAACAGGAUUAGAUACCCUGGUAGUCCACACUGUAAACGAU